AAAACGCUGUCAUUGCUCGUCUUGGCUGAACGGUGUUCAAGAAGUACAUGUACUACCUAGUGAAGUAUUUACGGAGCAUUUUAUAACCAACUGGCCUCAAAAACUUUAUUAGCCUCCACAGUGUAGUAACUGAUUCAGCAUGGAAGCUGAAAAGAAAUCCAGACAACCCUUACAGGUAGAAGGUCGUGAGGAAAAUGCCAACAAAGUUGAACAAGCAAAACGUACGCACAGUAUGCAGGUAUGGUGAGUUUCAAGGAUUGGUAACUUAGUAGUAGCAGCUGGCUUUUAUCUCAACUAAAUGAAGGCGAAACUAUGGAUAGAUACAGACGUGGCAAUUUGUACUGGUCAGCAUGUGGAUGCCUACAGAAAUUCGCUUGGGCUUCAAACACGAUCAUGCAAAUGGAAAUUUGGAUUGGAUAGAACGGAAGUGCGUUUCAGCAACUGCCAAUGAUGGCUCCUCUAGCAGACAAGGUGUACUGGUACUACGGUGUUCAUGAUCGGCAACUCUUGUACUUUUUGAAGAUGAAGUAUUGAGAUAAGAAGAAAUUCGAAGGACACGGAUGUCGUGCAAGGAGCACCAGACUGCCGUUCAUUACCUUGAUACUUCAUCAUUGCAUCUGUCUGUUUGCCG